AUCACUUAUCUGCCUUUUGGCUAAGAUCAAGUGUACUAUCUGUUCUUAUCAGUUCAUGCUGGUGGCCCAAAAAGCCAGUUUUGGACUGGUGGCGAUGGGUGCUGCAUGGAGGGGACAGGUGUACCAGGAAGUUUCGGGGCUGGUUCUGAGGAAUCAGCUCAAUGGCUGCCCAGAUGUGACCUGUUCCCUCUGGGUCUC